UCACAGCCCUGACACAUGGCCUUGCCAUUUGCUUCCAACAGAAAAUACAGGUCAUCCUAUGAGAACUUUAGAAAUUGUUAUCUGUUUUCCUCCUACCCUCAGCAGUUCUAUCUACCCUCCCUCCUGAUUUAAGCAAACUCUUGAUAAUGGAAAAGUGUAACACAAAGGGCGACCUGAUGCCAGGAACAGCAGUCAUGGGUCUUAUCUGAGUGGCUGGACCCAGCAACCCUGCUCUCUACAGCUGACCAAGGCAGUACAUCUAACAGGACUCCAUCACUUCAGAUUUAAAACAAUCCAACCUGGAAACUUAUAUUUUCCAGAGCUGUGUGCUCAUGUGACAAAAGUAUGUUGUUCUACUUGUGAGCUUUGACCCUAACUGCAUGCUUCCAUCUUUAACCAUCUGUGGCUUGUGUACAAAAUACCUCCAUCUCCCUCUACAGAUAAGAAAUCUCUGGGAUAUGAUCAUUAGUCUCUUACAGGCUGUGUGUUGUGAGUCACAGGGACAACGCAUACAAUGAAAAAGAAACUAGACUAGAGUCUGAGUUCCUGCAGGUAGGUUUUGGUCCCCCAGGCCCUGACCUAGGAGAGUCUGAUUCACAAACAUGUUUGGGAAGCCUCCUGGGAAGUUCAUGGCUUAAAAGUUGCAGAUGUCAUUCUGACUUUGGCAAGAUGGAGAACCAUUUAUUUUGAUGAAUUCUGAUGUGUGUGUAGCUCUGAGAAACAGGUGGCUGGGAAGGAAAGAUCCAAAGAGGAAUCCUUUUGAGUCUAGCCUGAGCCCCCAGGUCUCUUCCUAUUUGUGAUGAACCCAUGCUGGCGUCAUGGAGUGUACAAUCUAAGUAGCUGAGGGAUUGUCAUUUCCAAAGGGACUGCUUCUGACUGCUGACCUCCAGAGCACAGAUCCUUAUCCAAAAGAGCCAGGAGGAAGAGCUGGAGGGCACUUUUCUCUCUGAGAGGCACUGGCACUUUCUUCAGCACAAGGGCCCUGUGGACGUUUAUAUACACUCAGUAAAUACUUAACUCAUUUGGAGAUAUUAUCCUGGUAACCAGAGGAAUGCAUGAAUUCUUACCUAAAUUUUUAGCUUACAUAAUUGUCCACUUGUAAAAUCUCAAGGAGUCCACAAAAAAGCUUUUAGAAACAAGCAAUUCAACAAGUUUGGAAGAUACAAGAUCAAUAUACAAAAACAAAUGAUCUCUGUGCUAACAAUGACCAUGUGGACAACAAAAUUACAAGUACAAAGCUACUUAUGAAGUAUGUACUGUAUACUGAAGCCUAUAAACUAUUAUGAAAUAAAUCAAAGAUCUAAAUCAAUGGAGAGACAUAACUGACCUGGUUCAUGAAUCAGAACAUUCAACACAAUAAAGGGUCUAGUUCUCCCCAAAUUGGUGUAAAAAUUUAACAUACUUCCUAUUUUUUGUGUAUACAGAGAAGAUUGUUUUCAAAAGAAAAAAUAAAUGUACUAGCUAAAGCAAUUUUAUAAAUCUGAAAGCACAGCAGUAAAAUAAAACAAAAAGGUUUUAUUAGAAAAUGGGUAAGGAGAUGAAUAUAAAUUUCACCAAAAAAGGGCAUGUAGGUGGUAAACAAACACAUAAGAGGAUGUUCUCAACAUUCCUAGCCAUCAGGAUAAUAAAAAUAAAAAGCAUAAGGAAAUGUUUUACUAUUUACCCACAGGAGUGGUCUUUGAAAAGAUGAUGACAAUACCAAAUGCUGGCAAGAGUGCUGAGAAACUGAGUCACAUAUAUUGCAAGUAGUAAUUUAUAAUGGUAAGCAGUAGGACAGUUUCUUAAAAAAAGAAAAUUAAACAUGCAACUACCACACAAUUGAAUAACAACUACUUUGAGCAUUUAUCCCAAAUAAAUGAACCUAUAUGUUCACACAAAAAUCUCUACACAGCCGUUCAAAGCAGCCGUUCAAUGCAGCCGUUCUUAGAUAAAGACUAGAAAUUACCCAGAUGUCUUCCAACACGUGAAUGAUUAACAAACUGUGGUAUAUUUAUACCAUAAAAUUGUACUCAACAAUCAGAGUGAAUGAAUUAUUGAUACCAGCAAUGACCUGCAUUGACUAUCCAUAGAAAUAUGCUGAGUAAGGAGAAAGUGAAUCCCAAAGAGUACACACUGUAUGAUUCUAUUUAUAUAAUAUUCUUGAAAUGAAAAAAUUGCAGUGAUGAGGUACAGAUUAGCAUUUGCCAGAAGUCAAGGAAAGAAUCAGGAAGAAGGGAAGUGGAUCUGAUUAAAGAAAUGCAGUAGGAGGGGAAGUUUGCCACAAUGGGAAUGUCCUGAAUCUUGACUGUAUCAAUGUCAGUAUCCUGGGUGUUGUAUUGUACUCUGGUUUUGCAUGAUGUUACCAUUAGAGGAAGUAACUAAAGGUUCAAGAAAUCUCUCUGUAUUGUUUCUCAUAACUGCAUGUGAAUCUAUACUUAUUUAAAAAUAAGUAUUUCACUUUUUGACUUUAUUUUUAUUGAUGGUACUCUUACAGAUGUCCCUAUCCCCUACCCACUUUGCCCACUUCCAUCCAGCUCCCAUCCCCCUUCCCUCUGGCCAUCACAACACUCACACUGUUGCCUGAAUCUAUGGGUUAUACAUGUAUGUUCCUUGCCUAAUUCCUUCACCUUCUUUCACCCAGUCCCCUCCUCCCGCUGUCCUCUGAGAGCUGUCAGUCUGUUCCAUCUGUCCAUGCCUGUGUUUCUAUUUUGUUCAUCAGUCUAUUUUGU